rnacentral:rRNA from 1 species
GACGAACGCUGGCGGCGUGCUUAACACAUGCAAGUCGAACGGAAAGGCCCCUUUGGGGGUACUCGAGUGGCGAACGGGUGAGUAACACGUGCGUAACCUGCCCUUGACUUCGGGAUAACUUCAGGAAACUGGGGCUAAUACCGGAUAGGAAUCCUUGCUGCAUGGUGGGGGUUGGAAAGUUUCGGCGGUUUUGGAUGGACUUGCGGCGUAUCAGCUUGUUGGUGGGGUAGUGGGUUACCAAGGCUUUGUCGGGUAGCCGGCCUGAGAGGGCGACCGGCCACAUUGGGACUGAGGUACGGCCCAGACACCUACGGGAGGCAGCAGUGGGGAAGAUUGCACAAGGGGCGGAAGCCUGAUGCAGCAACGCCGCGGGCGGGAUGACGGCCUUCGGGUUGAAAACCGCAUUCAGCAGGGGCGAAGCUUGUGGUGACGGUACCUGCAGAAGAAGCACCGGCUAACUACGUG